GGAUGGGAUGGACGAAAGUCUGAUGCAGCAACGCCGCGUGGAGGAUGACACAUUUCGGUGCGUAAACUCCUUUUAUAUGAGAAGAUAAUGACGGUACUAUAUGAAUAAGCACCGGCUAACUCCGUGCCAGCAGCCGCGGUAAUACGGAGGGUGCAAGCGUUACUCGGAAUCACUGGGCGUAAAGAGCGUGUAGGCGGGUAUAUAAGUCAGAAGUGAAAUCCAAUAGCUUAACUAUUGAACUGCUUUUGAA
rnacentral:rRNA from 1 species